rnacentral:rRNA from 1 species
UACGAAGGGGGCUAGCGUUGUUCGGAAUUACUGGGCGUAAAGCGUGCGUAGGCGGGCAUUUAAGUCGGAUGUGAAAUCCCCGGGCUCAACCUGGGAACUGCAUUCGAGACUGGAUGCCUAGAGUAUGGUAGAGGAAAGUGGAACUCCCGGUGUAGCGGUGAAAUGCGUAGAUAUCGGGAAGAACACCAGUGGCGAAGGCGGCUUUCUGGACCAAUACUGACGCUGAGGUACGAAAGCGUGGGGAGCAAACAGG